rnacentral:rRNA from 1 species
UCAAGCUACAAAGGGCGCAUGGUGAAUGCCUUGGCAUCAGGAGCCGAUGAAGGACGUGAUAAGCUGCGAUAAGCUUCGGGUAGGCGCACAUAGCCUGAGAUCCGAAGAUCUCCGAAUGAGGAAACUCACAUGGGAAACCCCAUGUAUCAUUAAGUGAAUACAUAGCUUAAUGAAGGUAACCCAGGGAACUGAAACAUCUAAGUACCUGGAGGAAGAGAAAGAAAAAUCGAUUUUCUUAGUAGCGGCGAGCGAAAGGGAAAGAGCCCAAACCGGAAACUUGUUUCCGGGGUUGUGGACAUAGCAUAAAAGUGGAGGCUAUUGUAACUGAAGAGAACUGGAAAGUUCCACCGUAGAAGGUAAUAGUCCUGUAAGUGAAACGAGAAGACCACGAGUUAUGAUCCAGAGUACCACGAGACACGUGAAACCUUGUGGGAAGCAGGGAGGACCACCUCCCAAGGCUAAAUACUACCUGAUGACCGAUAGUGAAGCAGUACCGUGAGGGAAAGGUGAAAAGAACCCCGGGAGGGGAGUGAAAUAGAACCUGAAACCGUGUGCCUACAACCGCUCAGAGCCCCUUAUGAGGGUGAUGAGGUGCUUUUUGUAGAACGAGCCAACGAGUUACGGUAUGUAGCAAGGUUAAGUACUUAAGGUACGGAGCCGAAGGGAAACCGAGUCUGAAUAGGGCGACUAGUUGCAUGCCGUAGACCCGAAACCGGGUGACCUAUCCAUGGCCAGGUUGAAGCGAGGGUAAAACCUCGUGGAGGACCGAACCACGUUGCUGUUGAAAAAGCAUGGGAUGAGCUGUGGAUAGCGGAGAAAUUCCAAUCGAACCCGGAGAUAGCUGGUUCUCUCCGAAAUAGCUUUAGGGCUAGCGUCGAGUAUGAGUAGUGGAGGUAGAGCACUGAAUGGGCUAGGGGGCAUAGCGCUUACCGAACCUUAUCAAACUCCGAAUGCCACAUACUUUGAGCUCGGCAGUCAGACUACGAAUGAUAAGAUCCGUGGUCAAAAGGGAAACAGCCCAGAUCGUCAGCUAAGGUCCCAAAGUGUAAGUUAAGUGGGAAAGGAUGUGAGAUUUCUAAGACAACUAGGAUGUUGGCUUAGAAGCAGCCAUUCAUUAAAAGAGUGCGUAAUAGCUCACUAGUCGAGAGAUCUUGCGCCGAAAAUGUAACGGGGCUAAACUUACCACCGAAGCUACGGGCUUGAACUUAGUUCAAGCGGUAGGAGAGCGUCGUAACCGGGCUGAAGUCGUACCGUAAGGAGCGGUGGACUGGUUACGAGUGAGAAUGUUGGCAUCAGUAGCGAGAUGUGGGUGAGAAUCCCACAGGCCGAAAACCUAAGGUUUCCUCAGGAAGGUUCGUCCGCUGAGGGUUAGUCGGGACCUAAGCCGAGGCCGAAAGGCGUAGGUGAUGGACAACUGGUUGAUAUUCCAGUACCACUACCAUCGUUAUUAUCGAUGGCGUGACGCAGGAGGAUAGUGUGUGCUAGCUAUUGGAUGCUAGUCUAAGCGUUUAGGCAGUGAGAGUAGGCAAAUCCGCUCUCAUAAUGCUGAGGCGUGAUGGGGAAGGUUCUACGGAACCGAAGUACAUGAUUCCACGCUGCCAAGAAAAGCGUCUAGAGAGAGAAGUAGUGCCCGUACCGCAAACCGACACAGGUAGGUGAGGAGAGAAUCCUAAGGCCGGCGGAAGAAUUACAGUUAAGGAACUCGGCAAAUUGACCCCGUAAGUUCGCGAGAAGGGGUGCCUACGAGAGUAGGCCGCAGAGAAUAGGCCCAAGCAACUGUUUAGCAAAAACACAGGUCUCUGCUAAAGCGUAAGCUGAUGUAUAGGGGCUGACGCCUGCCCGGUGCUGGAAGGUUAAGGGGAACACUUAGCGCAAGCGAAGGUGUGAACUUAAGCCCCAGUAAACGGCGGCCGUAACUAUAACGGUCCUAAGGUAGCGAAAUUCCUUGUCGGGUAAGUUCCGACCCGCACGAAAGGUGUAACGAUUUGGGCGCUGUCUCAACAAAGGAUCCGGUGAAAUUGUAGUAGUCGUGAAGAUGCGACUUACCCACGGUAGGACGGAAAGACCCCGUGGAGCUUUACUGCAGGUUGACAUUGAAUUUUGGGAUUAAAUGUACAGGAUAGGUGGGAGACUAAGAAGCAAGCUCGCCAGAGUUUGCAGAGUCACUGUUGGGAUACCACUCUUUUAAUUCUAAAGUUCUAACUAGUUACCAUGAAGCUGGUAAUAGGACACUGUCAGUCGGGCAGUUUGACUGGGGCGGUCGCCUCCAAAAAAGUAACGGAGGCGUUCAAAGGUUCGCUCAGAAUGGUUGGAAAUCAUUCAAAGAGUACAAAGGCAAAAGCGAGCUUAACUGCGAGACAAACAGGUCGAGCAGAGACGAAAGUCGGACUUAGUGAUCCGGUGGUACCGAGUGGAAGGGCCAUCGCUCAACGGAUAAAAGCUACCCCGGGGAUAACAGGCUUAUCUCCCCCAAGAGUCCACAUCGACGGGGAGGUUUGGCACCUCGAUGUCGGCUCGUCGCAUCCUGGGGCUGAAGUAGGUCCCAAGGGUUGGGCUGUUCGCCCAUUAAAGCGGCACGCGAGCUGGGUUCAGAACGUCGUGAGACAGUUCGGUCCCUAUCCGUCGCGGGCGUAGGAAAUUUGAGAGGAGCUGUCCUUAGUACGAGAGGACCGGGAUGGACUGACCUCUGGUGUACCAGUUGUUCCGCCAGGAGCACAGCUGGGUAGCUAAGUCGGGAAUGGAUAAACGCUGAAAGCAUCUAAGCGUGAAGCCAACCUCAAGAUGAGAUUUCCCAUAGCGUAAGCUAGUAAGAUCCCUUGAAGAACACAAGGUUGAUAGGUCGGGGGUGUAAGCAUGGUAACAUGUUCAGCUGACCGAUACUAAUAGAUCGAGGGCUUGACCAA